rnacentral:rRNA from 1 species
CAAAAGCUCAAAUUUGAAAUCUGGCGUCUUUGGCGUCGAGAAGAAAUUUGAAGAAGGUAUCUUUGGGCCCGGCUCUUGUCUAAGUUCCUUGGAACAGGACGUCACAGAGGGUGAGAAUCCCGUGCGAUGAGAUGACCCGGGUCUGUGUAAAGUUCCUUCUUCUCAGUCGAGUUGUUUGGGAAUGCAGCUCUAAGUGGGUGGUAAAUUCCAUCUAAAGCUAAAUAUUGGCGAGAGACCGAUAGCGAACAAGUACAGUGAUGGAAAGAUGAAAAGAACUUUGAAAAGAGAGUGAAAAAGUACGUGAAAUUGUUGAAAGGGAAGGGCUUGAGAUCAGACUUGGUAUUUUGCAUGCUGCUCUCUCGGGGGCGGCCGCUGCGGUUUACCGGGCCAGCAUCGGUUUGGAGCGGCAGGAUAAUGGCGGAGGAAUGUGGCACGGCUUCUGCUGUGUGUUAUAGCCUCUGACGAUGCUGCCAGCCUAGACCGAGGACUGCGGUUUUUAACCUAGGAUGUUGGCAUAAUGAUCUUAAGUCGCCCGUCUUGAAACCACGGAC